AGUGAACGCUGGCGGUAGGCCUAACACAUGCAAGUCGAACGGCAGCACAGCAGAGCUUGCUCUGUGGGCGGCGAGUGGCGGACGGGUGAGGAAUACGUGGGAAUCUGCCCAGUCGUGGGGGAAAACGUAGGGAAACUUACGCUAAUACCGCAUGCGCCCUUCGGGGGAAAGCCGGGGACCUUCGGGCCUGGCGCGAGUGGAGGAGCCGACGUCGGAUUAGCUAGUUGGCGGGGUAAAGGACCACCAAGGCGACGAUCCGUAGCUGGUCUGAGAGGAUGAUCAGCCACACUGGAACUGAGACACGGUCCAGACUCCUACGGGAGGCAGCAGUAGGGAAUAUUGGACAAUGGGCGCAAGCCUGAUCCAGCCAUGCCGCGUGAGUGAAGAAGGCCCUCGGGUUGUAAAGCUCUUUUGUCCGGAAAGAAAAGCGCCGGGUUAAUACCCUGGUGUCCUGACGGUACCGGAAGAAUAAGCACCGGCUAACUUCGUGCCAGCCGCCGCAGUAAAAC
rnacentral:rRNA from 1 species